rnacentral:rRNA from 1 species
GCAGUGGGGAAUAUUGGACAAUGGGGGCAACCCUGAUCCAGCCAUACCGCGUGUGUGAAGAAGGCCUUAGGGUUGUAAAGCACUUUCAGGAGGGAGGAAAGGUUUGUGGUUAAUACCCGUAAGCUGUGACGUUACCUUCAGAAGAAGCACCGGCUAACUCUGUGCCAGCAGCCGCGGUAAUACAGAGGGUGCGAGCGUUAAUCGGAAUUACUGGGCGUAAAGCGCGCGUAGGUGGUUUGUUAAGUCGGAUGUGAAACCCCCGGGCUCAACCUGGGACUUGCACCCGAUACUGGCAGGCUAGAGUACGAUAGAGGAGUGUGGAAUUUCCUGUGUAGCGGUGAAAUGCGUAGAUAUAGGAA